rnacentral:lncRNA from 1 species
UUUUGUACUAAGAGAAGGAUUAAGUACAGUUAAAGGAAUCUGGUUAUUCUAUCCAAAACACAAGUUAGGGCUGUAGUCACUAAAUUAUAGAAAAAAUUGCUAGACUUACUGGUGAUACUCGCACGCUUGCGUGGUAUGAGAGCAGUGGAUGCUUUCAUACAGUUUUCUUCUAGUAUAGUAAUUUUUAAUAGAUAGCUACUUAGCAACUUCUGCAACAGUUUUUUCCUGUGCCUGCUGUGCCUAUUUCUUUUCCACUCUGUAUCCAGGACACCAACAUAUCGGUUUUCUCUGCCCGGCAUUUGGUGAUGUGCCACUUGCCUGUAAAACAGCCCUUGCGCAGCGGCUCGGAAGCUUUCCUGCUCUCGCUGGUUGUCUGUGUGAUCUGCUCGAGAGCUGCUCACGGUGGUUUCUGUGGGGGUUCCCCGGACGGCAAUAGCCUGAGGCCUGUAAAGGAGACGAGCAAGGACAAAGUGGUCUUUUAGAAGCAGAAAGUUGUCUUGUUUGUUUGGCUUUCAUGGCGGCAUCACAUCAAACCACCUUUGGGUUUGAAGAAGACGAACAGGGAAAUGCUGGAGCACAAUAAGCCUGUUCUUUCGGUUCCUGAAACUUUCACAGGCAUGAAGUAGUAUUUUAACCUGCAUCCAGGUAGGUAACAGUGGGUGCUGGUCCACUGUUAUGAUUUCUGUAGUCUUUCAACCUGGAAGGGAAACUGCUUGGAUCCAGUCUGACUUUCUAACAUCAACUAUAGCAUCUGGUACAGCUGAUUCUUUAUCAUGCUGAAAACAGUUGACUAAGGAACAUCUAGUCCAUCUCAUUUCCUUAGAUGCAGUGAACAGCAGUGGUUCAUCAGCUGUAACCUGCCAAUACUGGCUCCUCGGACUUGAAAACAAAUUGGAACAUUUGGGUGCCCUUUCUUCACUCGUUUUUAAUUAAAUAUUGGUGCAGUAAGAGUUGUUCUGGGACAGGAAAGACCCAACGAUCUUACAGAAUGUGCAAAACAAGCAGGCUGUGUCAUGUCAUCCCAUUACAACAUUCCCACCGUAGGAAACUCCCUUCGGUAUGUUUUGAUAAACCUGGCCUUAUUAAUAGUGCUAAGCUUCAAGUUAAGUAAUGUGUAGAAUUACUUAUGUGCGUUGUGUGUCUAUAACAGUACGUUGGGCUCUCCAGCCAUUGUGCUGCAAAGCGUGUGUGAAGAGAGGUGAGCAGUGUUAAUCUCAUUUGCUAUCGGGAGAAAUCUGAGACUAGCCCUUGCAGUUUGUGGUUGUAGCUGGUGAAUGCAACAGGCAGUAUUUCCACUACAGCACCAAGUGAGGAGAAUAGAAAGGAACCAUAGUCUCCUGGUUCCCUAAUUUUGUGCUUGAUCCACUGAGAAGAGAUUUUGUGACCACUAAGUGAACUUGAGUGUCUGUAUGUUUUGCGCUGAAGUUGUGUGGUCAGUUAAUAACCUGAAGGGAAAAAAUGGAUCAAAAUAAGCUGUAGAUC